GACGAACGCUGGCGGCGUGCUUAACACAUGCAAGUCGAACGAAGAGCGAUGGAAGCUUGCUUCUAUCAAUCUUAGUGGCGAACGGGUGAGUAACGCGUAAUCAACCUGCCCUUCAGAGGGGGACAACAGUUGGAAACGACUGCUCAUACCGCAUACGAUCUAAUCUCGGCAUCGAGGAUAGAUGAAAGGUGGCCUCUACAUGUAAGCUAUCACUGAAGGAGGGGAUUGCGUCUGAUUAGCUAGUUGGAGGGGUAACGGCCCACCAAGGCGAUGAUCAGUAGCCGGUCUGAGAGGAUGAACGGCCACAUUGGGACUGAGACACGGCCCAGACUCCUACGGGAGGCAGCAGUGGGGAAUCUUCCGCAAUGGACGAAAGUCUGACGAAGCAACGCCGCGUGAGUGAUGACGGCCUUCGGGUUGUAAAGCUCUGUUAAUCGGGACGAAAGGCCUUCUUGCGAAUAGUGAGAAGGAUUGACGGUACCGGAAGAGAAAGCCACGGCUAACUACGUG
rnacentral:rRNA from 1 species